rnacentral:rRNA from 1 species
GUAGGGAAUAUUGGGCAAUGGUCGGAAGACUGACCCAGCCAUGCCGCGUGCAGGAAGACGGCCCUCUGGGUUGUAAACUGCUUUUAUCUGGGAAGAAAAAGGCCAUGCGUGGCAAAUUGCCGGUACCAGAUGAAUAAGCACCGGCUAACUCCGUGCCAGCAGCCGCGGUAAUACGGAGGGUGCGAGCGUUGUCCGGAUUUAUUGGGUUUAAAGGGUGCGUAGGCGGCUGAUUAAGUCAGCGGUGAAAGACUUCGGCUUAACCGGAGCCGUGCCGUUGAUACUGGUUGGCUUGAGUGUCGGAGGGGUACAUGGAAUUGAUGGUGUAGCGGUGAAAUGCAUAGAUACCAUCAGGAACACCGAUAGCGAAGGCAUUGUACUGGCCGACAACUGACGCUGAUGCACGAAAGUGUGGGGAUCGAACAGGAUUAGAUACCCGAGUAGUCC